rnacentral:rRNA from 1 species
GCAGGGGAUCUUCGGACCUCGCGCGAUAGGGGCGGCCGAUGUCGGAUUAGCUAGUUGGUAGGGUAAAGGCCUACCAAGGCGACGAUCGGUAGCUGGUCUGAGAGGACGAUCAGCCACACUGGGACUGAGACACGGUCCAGACUCCUACGGGAGGCAGCAGUGGGGAAUUUUGGACAAUGGGGGCAACCCUGAUCCAGCAAUGCCGCGUGUGUGAAGAAGGCCUUCGGGUUGUAAAGCACUUUUAUUAGGAAAGAAAUCGUUCUGGCUAAUAUCCGGGGGGGAUGACGGUACCGGAAGAAUAAGCACCGGCUAACUUCGUGCCAGCAGCCGCGGUAAUACGAAGGGUGCGAGCGUUAAUCGGAAUUACUGGGCGUAAAGCGUGCGCAGGCGGUUAGUUAAGUCGGAUGUGAAAUCCCCGGGCUCAACCUGGGAAUGGCAUUGGAUACUGGCAAGCUAGAGUAUGAUAGAGGGGGGUGGAAUUCCCGGUGUAGCAGUGAAAUGCGUAGAGAUGGGGAGGAACAUCGAUGGCGAAGGCAGCC